rnacentral:ncRNA from 1 species
GAGAGCCCGGUGCGAUGAGAGUUGCACUCCGGGUUCGGCGAGCGGCCUGGGGAAACGGACCAGCGUGAGCUGGGACCGCGCCCCAGGCCGACUCAAU